rnacentral:rRNA from 1 species
CCCCGUCUUGAAACACGGACCAAGGAGUGCAACAUGCGUGCGAGUCUUUGGGUGGCAAACCCGCUGGCGCAAUGAAGGUGAAGGCAGGCGUUGGUCUGCUGAGGCGAGAGCCUCCUCCGGGGGCACAUCGUCGACCGAUCCCGGGCUACGCUGUGGUGGGAUUUGAGUAAGAGCGUGCCUGUUGCGACCCGAAAGAUGGUGAACUAUGCCUGAAGAGGGUGAAGCCAGAGGAAACUCUGGUGGAAGCUCGCAGCGAUUCUGACGUGCAAAUCGAUCGUCAAAUUUGGGUAUAGGGGCGAAAGACUAAUCGAACCAUCUAGUAGCUGGUUCCCUCCGAAGUUUCCCUCAGGAUAGCUGGAGCCCGGUGCAGUUUUAUCAGGUAAAGCGAAUGAUUAGAGGUCUUGGGGUUGAAACAACCUCAACCUAUUCUCAAACUUUAAAUGGGUAAGAAGCUCGGCUUGCUUAAUUGAAGUCGGGCAUGGAAUGCCGGGGCUCUUAGUGGGCCAUUUUUGGUAAGCAGAACUGGCGAUGUGGGAUGAACCAAAUGCUGGGUUAAGGUGCCCGAAUCGACGCUCAUCAGAUCCCAUGAAAGGUGUUGGUUGAUCCAGACAGCAGGACGGUGGCCAUGGAAGUCGGAAUCCGCUAAGGAGUGUGUAACAACUCACCU